AAUCAACGCUGGCGGCGCGCUUAACACAUGCAAGUCGCACGAGAAAGGGAGCAAUCCUAAGUAAAGUGGCGUACGGGUGAGUAACACGUGGAUAAUCUACCUUUUAGUGGGGAAUACCCCCGGGAAACUGGGGACAAUACCGCAUAAGCUCGAAAGAGGAAAGCAGCAAUGCGCUGAAAGAGGAGUCCGCGGCUGAUUAGCUAGUUGGCGGGGUAACGGCCCACCAAGGCGAAGAUCGGUAGCCGGCCUGAGAGGGCACACGGCCACACU
rnacentral:rRNA from 1 species